rnacentral:rRNA from 1 species
UACGGGGGGAGCAAGCGUUGUUCGGAUUUACUGGGCGUAAAGGGCGCGUAGGCGGCGUGACAAGUCACUUGUGAAAUCUCCGGGCUUAACUCGGAACGGUCAAGUGAUACUGUCGUGCUAGAGUACAGAAGGGGCAACUGGAAUUCUCGGUGUAGCGGUGAAAUGCGUAGAUAUCGAGAGGAACACCUGCGGCGAAGGCGGGUUGCUGGGCUGAUACUGACGCUGAGGCGCGAAAGCCAGGGAGCGAACGGG